ensembl:lncRNA
GUAGUUUUCUCUCCUUCCCUUCACAGCCAUGUUUCUUACCAGAGGCCUGGGAUAUUCAGCGAGAAACUCAGACUGGGAAUCCAGAGAGAAGUCAUGUUUUAAAAACUAAGGCACAUGAAUGGAAGGGGCUGUGAUUUAGAAACUAACAGAACAAAGACAGUGUCCUAGUACAAAGCCCCAGCGGUUGGAAUUUGUAAUGGAGGGAGCUUGCUUCAAGCCUUGAUUGCUCAAGAAACUGAGGCAGAGGAAAGCCCUUUGGAACAUCCAUCUAAUGACCAGAAGAACUAGAAGAGCACCUGAAGCUAAUCUCAUCCAUCCAUCCAUCCUUCCAUCCAUCCAUCCAUCCAUCCAAUCUCUUAAAGCGUGAACACCCUUUGAUGCAGAAGGCCACUUUAUUGAUGGAGAUAAAAUGGAACGGAGUUCUCCAUAGCCCUCCUUCACUCUGUCAAAGCCUCAUUGGGCAUCUGAGGAUGGUGUGGGCUGUUGCCAACCCAGGUUGGAUUGCUCAGCCAACUCCACUGCCUGCUGCAAGUCAGAUGACCACAUUAAAACACAUCACAGCUAAUGACGAUUUGUGGAUGCACAUCUCAAUCCCCUUCAAGUUUUUUGCAUUUUUAAAUAUUGUAUAAAAUAUGUGAACUACAAAAGGUUAGCCUUACUGUGCCAUCUGCAUGUGCCAUCUGCAUGUCACAGUCCUUUUAGGAUUACUUUCUCUCUAACAUACCUUCUAUUGCAAGAAAACCUCUACAAGGUGCUGCUGUACAAAAAGAAAAAUCUAGAUGAUUUUAAGAAGAGCAGCAACUUAAUAGUGUUUUAGUUUGCAGGAAACCAGCCUGCUAGGAAUGUCUAAAUGGAGGGAGCAAACUGAGAUUAAAGACAAGACAUAGAAAUAAUUUUGAAAGAGGAGCCAGAGGCUCUUGCCUCUAGUGGACAAAGAGCCCUGAGCAUCUGGCUCACCUCACUUUUAUUCAAUUUAGACAAGGGAGCAAGAAAUUAUGUUAAUAGAAAAUUCAUCUGUUUCUCAUUAUUUGCAAAGUGUACCCAGGUAAGUAUUUUUCCACACUAGAUCUCAGCUGUUGUUGACUUCUUUUCUGGAACUUGCAACAUGCCAGCAUGCUGGGACAUUGCCAAAGUGGGAUCAGCUUGCUUCAUAUCCACAGAGAAGGUCAAGUGGGUCUUGAACCUUAUGUCUAGUUUCCUACAUUAGUUCAUUUGAAUUUUAUUUCCCCAAAGUAUAUUCAUAAAUAUAUAAACUAUACAAUCUUGUCAUUUUAAUGCUUUUUUGGGUUUUUUUGUGAUUUUUGAAAAAUAAUAGAACAAAACUAAAAAAAUGUGCUAACUUUGAAACCAAUAAGAGCACUAGAGGACUUGCGUAGGAGACUAUAUCUGGUUCCUUUUCCCUUCCUUUCUGGCACUGUUCCUCUGCUUUGCUUCCCAUGUGCCAUGAAGUGAGCAGUCUUACUCCACCACACCCUUUUGCCACAAUGUUCCUCCUCUGCAGAUUGCUGAUCAUGGACCAAAUCCUUUGAAACUAUGAACCAAAUAAACUUCUCCUUUAAGCUGAGUGUCAG